rnacentral:rRNA from 1 species
GGACCAUCAUGUUGGUCGUGCCUUGGUACGUACUAGUUUAUUGGUUUCUCCCUUCUGACGAACCAUGAUGUCAUUUAUUUGGUGUUGUGGGGAAUCAGGACUGUUACUUUGAAAAAAUUAGAGUGUUUAAAGCAGGCUCACGCUUGAAUACAUGAGCAUGGAAUAAUGAAAUAGGACGUUUGAUCCUAUUUUGUUGGUUUCUAGGAUUGACGUA